AGGGCUGUCUCUGAGAUAGCUCACAGGGCCACUGCCCAGGCGGAGGAAUGAAACCAGAGGAAGGUCGGCAGAACUUUGGGUUUGUGUGGGGUGUUUUCAGGUCCACAUGAAAGGGUGUGUCCAGAGGACCCUGGCGACACCUGUGGCAAAGGCUCCUGGCUUCCUUCUUGGCCACCAAUCAGAGAGCUGCCCAGAGCGAACAAGCACUUCUGUGUCUGCACAUUGGUUGCUUUUUUGGAUUUUCAUCCUUUUAUUUUUUAAUCAAUUCUAAAAUGCAGACUCUCCUGUCCCAGUUCAUCCGCAGAGAAAUGUCUUGGACCAUUUUCUUCUCGUCAGUCCCUCCUGGGCUCUCAUCAUGACUGUGCAGGGAAAACUCUUUCCAACCAUGCUCUUCUUCUGCUCUCACACUGCAACAAUCAACACGGAAGACGUCGGUGACUGAAUGUGUGCAGGUUUUUCCCCGACACCAAUUCAACUCUGAUACCAUCUGCCUGGACAUAGCAUCAGAUCCCAUGGGUUGAGGACUCAGUACCCAAGGCUGCCCCCUCCUCCCCAGACACCAGUUGCCAGUCCGGGCCUCUGGAACUUCUCACCGACCAGCUUCAAGUUGGGGUUCCCAUGACUCCCCUCUUUGAGUUCAAUUAAUUUGCUGGAGCAGCUCACAGAACUCAGGGAAACCCAUUUAGUGGUUUAUUCUAAAAGCUGUUACAAAGGAUACAGGAUGGGAAGGAGGACUGAUCCACGUUCCCACCAGGAAGCUUAGUGGAACCCCCGUAUGCCACCUGGACCCCCUGGAAGGACCUGGCCAAGGCUGAACCACCUCUUGAGAGGCAAGAGCUCCAAAUUUGAUCAGAAAUUCUUGGCUGGGCAUGGUGCCUCAUGCCUAUAAUCCCAACACUUUGGGAAACCGAGGUGGGAGGAUCGCUUGAGCCUGGGAGUUCAAGACCAGCCUGGGCAAUAUAAGGAGACCCCAUCUCUAAAGAAUAGUAAUAAUAAAAUAAAAAAUUAGCAGGGCAUGGUGGCAUGUGCCUGUAGUCCCAGCUACCCAGGAGGCUGAGGCAAGAGGAUGGCUGGAGCCUGGGACGUUGAGGCUGCAAUGAACUGUGAUUACCCCACUGCACUCCAGCCUGGGCAACAGAGCGAGAGACCCUGUCUCAAAAUAAUACUACUAAUAAUCUUAUUUUGGAGAAUAAAGAAACCUCUGGAUUUGAGGAGCCAUUUGGAUAGAAAGCAAAGACCUUCACAAUGAGAAAUAGUCUGUGUUGACCUGAAGGAGCAGAGGGAUGCAUCACUGGAGGUGACCUACAGUUGGAGAAGACUCAUUAUGCCAGACCUUGUCCUUCUUCCUUGUGGAAAAUGUUUCCCCUGCUGCUGCUGCUCAUGAGACUCUUCCCCCUCCCUGUCUCAGGCAACCAAAGGGCUUUCUACCACACCCUUUCUUGCCCCCCGCCUCCCAUGUCUGCUGUGCCUUUGUACUCAGCAAUUCUUGUUUGCUCCAUUAUCUUCCAGCCGGAUACAGAGUGAAUAGUUAACCACACUUAGGUCAAAUAGGAUCUGAAUUUUUGUUCCUGCUCCAUCUAAAGAGGCCAGUGUUUGUGCGUUGCAAGCAGCCUCGGAAUAGUAACUCUUCUCAUUUGUUUGGGAUCUCAUUGUAUUCCUCAGCCAUCAAGUUCCAGAAUGAUACAUGGAUCAGUGCAGAAGUUCAUCAGGCUCUCGGACCUUAGGGCUGUUGGAGAAGUCUUCAGCAGGGGAACUGAUGGUGAAGGCUGGUGUUCUCCAUCCUCAACUUUCUUUGCUUGGAUCACACAUAAGUAUACAUUUGGAAGGGCAAAAAAUGAACACUGUUGUUCACUGCAGCCAUGUUUUGUGACACAGAUGCAGUCUGCUGUGAAGACCUUCUCGCAAGUGGCAGUUGGGGGUCCAUGCCAGAUCAUGGUGCUUCGUGACAGACUAACAGCUACCAGGGAUGGUGGCACUUAGUGAGGACCCUCCUCCCCCAGUGUGUGCUGAUGACACAUACACACCUGACAAUAGCUUGAGUCUUCUCUGUUCUUUUUUACUCUGUGGCCACCAUACACAUGAUUUAAAACCCUUCCUAAAUAUCUAUCAUGGUUCACCCUUGUCCAAAUGCAGAGUCAAAGCUACUUGUACUUUAUUAUUAUUUCCAAGGCAAAUAGAUGGCUUGCUUUUUACAAAAAGAAUUAAAGCUUU
rnacentral:lncRNA from 1 species